GUAGGUGGCAAGCGUUGUCCGGGAAUUAUUGGGGCGUAAAGCGCGCGCAGGCGGUCCUUUAAGUCUGAUGUGAAAGCCCACGGGCUCAACCGUGGGAGGGUCAUUGGAAACUGGGGGACUUGAGUACAGAAGAGAAGAGUGGAAUUCCACGUGUAGCGGUGAAAUGCGUAGAGAUGUGGAGGAACACCAGUGGCGAAGGCGACUCUUUGGUCUGUAACUGACGCUGAGGCGCGAAAGCGUGGGGAGCAAACAGGAUUAGAUACCCUGGUAGUCCACGCUGUAAACGAUGAGUGCUAAGUGUUAGAGGGUUUCCGCCCUUUAGUGCUGCAGCUAACGCAUUAAGCACUCCGCCUGGGGAGUACGGCCGCAAAGGCUG
rnacentral:rRNA from 1 species